AGAGUUUGAUCCUGGCUCAGGAUGAACGCUAGCGACAGGCUUAACACAUGCAAGUCGAGGGGCAGCAUGAUUUGUAGCAAUACAGAUUGAUGGCGACCGGCGCACGGGUGAGUAACGCGUAUGCAACUUACCUAUCAGAGGGGGAUAGCCCGGCGAAAGUCGGAUUAAUACCCCAUAAAACAGGGGUCCCGCAUGGGAAUAUUUGUUAAAGAUUCAUCGCUGAUAGAUAGGCAUGCGUUCCAUUAGGCAGUUGGCGGGGUAACGGCCCACCAAACCGACGAUGGAUAGGGGUUCUGAGAGGAAGGUCCCCCACAUUGGUACUGAGACACGGACCAAACUCCUACGGGAGGCAGCAGUGAGGAAUAUUGGUCAAUGGCCGAGAGGCUGAACCAGCCAAGUCGCGUGAAGGAAGAAGGAUCUAUGGUUUGUAAACUUCUUUUAUAGGGGAAUAAAGUGGAGGACGUGUCCUUUUUUGUAUGUACCCUAUGAAUAAGCAUCGGCUAACUCCGUGCCAGCAGCCGCGGUAAUACGGAGGAUGCGAGCGUUAUCCGGAUUUAUUGGGUUUAAAGGGUGCGUAGGUGGUGAUUUAAGUCAGCGGUGAAAGUUUGUGGCUCAACCAUAAAAUUGCCGUUGAAACUGGGUUACUUGAGUGUGUUUGAGGUAGGCGGAAUGCGUGGUGUAGCGGUGAAAUGCAUAGAUAUCACGCAGAACUCCGAUUGCGAAGGCAGCUUACUAAACCAUAACUGACACUGAAGCACGAAAGCGUGGGGAUCAAACAGGAUUAGAUACCCUGGUAGUCCACGCAGUAAACGAUGAUCACUAGCUGUUUGCGAUACACUGUAAGCGGCACAGCGAAAGCGUUAAGUGAUCCACCUGGGGAGUACGCCGGCAACGGUGAAACUCAAAGGAAUUGACGGGGGCCC
rnacentral:rRNA from 1 species